rnacentral:lncRNA from 1 species
AGAGAUCAAGAAAAGAAGUGGAAUAAUCCCCUGUAAUCCGAUUCCUUGGGAGAGGCCCAAGAGCAUUGGCCUUAAGGUCAAACGGCAACAGGUGACAUCUCAGAUGUCCUCAUGUCUUAUUAUCCCACUGAUGAAGAUGGAUCACUCUUCGGCACUGACUCUUGAUCCUUGUGUACAACCUACACAUAACAGGAAGAGUCUCACAGAUAAGAAAAACUCCAGCUUCUUGGGCUCAGACUAUGAAAAUGCCUGCCGAGUCAUGAUUUAUGUGAAGGUGAGUAAGGUACAUAUACUGC